CCUACGGGGGGCUGCAGUGGGGAAUAUUGCACAAUGGGCGCAAGCCUGAUGCAGCCAUGCCGCGUGUGUGAAGAAGGCCUUCGGGUUGUAAAGCACUUUCAGCGGGGAGGAAGGCGGUGAGGUUAAUAACCUCAUCGAUUGACGUUACCCGCAGAAGAAGCUCCGGCUAACUCCGUGCCAGCAGCCGCGGUAAUACGGAGGGUGCAAGCGUUAAUCGGAAUUACUGGGCGUAAAGCGCACGCAGGCGGUCUGUCAAGUCGGAUGUGAAAUCCCCGGGCUCAACCUGGGAACUGCAUUCGAAACUGGCAGGCUAGAGUCUUGUAGAGGGGGGUAGAAUUCCAGGUGUAGCGGUGAAAUGCGUAGAGAUCUGGAGGAAUACCGGUGGCGAAGGCGGCCCCCUGGACAAAGACUGACGCUCAGGUGCGAAAGCGUGGGGAGCAAACAGGAUUAGAUACCCCAGUAGUC
rnacentral:rRNA from 1 species